rnacentral:rRNA from 1 species
UACGUAGGGUGCGAGCGUUGUCCGGAAUUAUUGGGCGUAAAGAGCUCGUAAGCGGUGUGUCACGUCGGCCGUGAAAACCUGCAGCUUAACUGUGGGCGUGCGGUCGAUACGGGCAUCACUGGAGUUCGGCAGGGGAGACUGGAAUUCCUGGUGUAGCGGUGAAAUGCGCAGAUAUCAGGAGGAACACCGGUGGCGAAGGCGGGUCUCUGGGCCGAUACUGACGCUGAGGAGCGAAAGCGUGGGGAGCAAACAGG